UCCUUCCGGCGAGAGGUCGAUCUGCCGUUCCGAGAUGCUAUUUCUAAGUCUAUUACUCUUGAGGUGAUUGCCAAAAUAAUGCAAGACAGAGGUUCAAGAUUACAGGCAGUUCCUGCCAGGACCUACCGAAGGAAAUGAUGAG